GAUGAACGCUGGCGGCGUGCCUAAUACAUGCAAGUCGAGCGAACGGACGAGAAGCUUGCUUCUCUGAUGUUAGCGGCGGACGGGUGAGUAACACGUGGAUAACCUACCUAUAAGACUGGGAUAACUUCGGGAAACCGGAGCUAAUACCGGAUGAUAUUUUGAACCGCAUGGUUCAAAAGAGAAAGACGGUCUUGCUGGCACUUAUAGAUGGAUCCGCGCUGCAUUAGCUAGUUGGUAAGGUAACGGCUUACCAAGGCAACGAUGCAUAGCCGACCUGAGAGGGUGGUCGGCCACACUGGAACUGAGACACGGUCCAGACUCCUACGGGAGGCAGCAGUAGGGAAUCUUCCGCAAUGGGCGGAAGCCUGACGGAGCAACGCCGCGUGAGUGAUGAAGGUCUUCGGAUCGUAAAACUCUGUUAUUAGGUAAGAACAUAUGUGUAAGUAACUGUGCACAUCUUGACGGUACCUAAUCAGAAAGCCACGGCUAACUACGUG
rnacentral:rRNA from 1 species